UACGUAGGUGACCAGCGUUGUCCGGAUUUACUGGGCGUAAAGAGCGCGCAGGCGGUCGUUCAAGUCGAGUGUGAAAGCCCCCGGCUCAACUGGGGAGGGUCACUCGAUACUGAUCGACUUGAAGGCAGGAGAGGGAAGCGGAAUUCCCGGUGUAGUGGUGAAAUGCGUAGAGAUCGGGCGGAACACCAGCGGCGAAGGCGGGUAGCUGGGCCAACACUGACGCUGAUGUGCGAAAGCUAGGGGAGCAAACGGG
rnacentral:rRNA from 1 species